UCCCCCAGACAGAAGACCCUGAGAGAAGGAUUAAGCACAUGUCAUGACUAUGGGGUGCAGAGAAACAAUGAAAAAGAUGUAUUUUAAACUUCAAGCAAAAGCACAACUAUCAAAAAUCUCUGAAGUUUAACCCAGCUUAAAAAUUGUCACAUCAACGCAGCCCUAGUCAAUCAAGAUGAAAUAGCUGAUAGAAUAAACUCACUCGGUUGAUACAG